CGUGUAGGCGGCCAUACAGGUCCGUUGUGAAAACUGGAGGCUUAACCUCCAGACGUCGACGGAAACCGUGUGGCUAGAGUCCGGAAGAGGAGAGUGGAAUUCCUGGUGUAGCGGUGAAAUGCGCAGAUAUCAGGAAGAACACCAAUGGCGAAGGCAGCUCUCUGGGACGGUACUGACGCUGAGACGCGAAAGCGUGGGAGCAAACA
rnacentral:rRNA from 1 species